GUUCUUUACGCCGACCUCAGAGCAGGUG
rnacentral:rRNA from 1 species